AGCUUUUGACGUCAUCAUGUCUCCUGAACAGACCGAAAGACGCAGCAUGCUUCCUGUAAGUAUCUCUGUCCGAAGCUCUUCCUUCUGAUGCACUUCUGAACAAGAGCAGAUCCCUGAAUCUCCACUUCCUCGAAGAACUCUUCAUAGCAGUUACAGCUUGUUGUUGUUGUUGUUGCUGCUGCUGGUGUCUUUCAUCUUCCUCCCAUGGAUACUGUGAAACUCUGUAAGGAGAAAGAGAUCUUGUCUUUCCUCUACGGCUUGAACUCGAGGUGAGAUCCGAAGUUCUCCCUCUUUCAUUGUUCACCUUCUGAGCAUUAAUCUCCAUUGCAGCUUGAAAAGGAUCCGAGACUUUCUUCUUCCUUGGCGACAAGGCUCCAAUUAUGAUCCUCUUCCCUUUCUCAAUAGGCGACCUGGGAGACCUGGGCGAAGAAGACAAAAGCGGUGACUUUAUGUCUUCCACCUGUAACAACCGUGGGGGGAGCUUCAAAGGCCGAAUCUUACCCCCGUCGAAAAGCUCGUCGGCAGGGAG
rnacentral:lncRNA from 1 species